rnacentral:rRNA from 1 species
GACGAACGCUGGCGGCGUGCCUAAUACAUGCAAGUAGAACGCUGAAGGAGGAGCUUUCUCUUCUGGUUGAGUUGCGAACGGGUGAGUAACGCGUAGGUAACCUGCCUGUUAGCGGGGGAUAACUAUUGGAAACGAUAGCUAAUACCGCAUAAGAGUAGAUGUUGCAUGACAUUUGCUUAAAAGGUUCAAUUGCAUCACUACCAGAUGGACCUGCGGUGUAUUAGCUAGUUGGUGGGGUAACGGAUCACCAAGGCGAGGAUACAUAGCCGAACUGAGAGGGGGAGCGGCCACACUGGGACUGAGACACGGCACAGAGUCAUACGGGAGGCAGCAGUAGGGAAUCUUCGGCAAUGGGCGGAAGUCUGACCGAGAAACGCCGCGUGAGUGAGGAAGGUUUUCGCAUCGGAAAGCUCUGUUGUAAGAGAAGAACGAGUGUGAGAGUGGAAAGUUCACACUGUGACGGUAUCUUACAAGAAAGGGACGGCUAACUACGUG